rnacentral:rRNA from 1 species
UUUUUAAGUAUUAAAAUUAAUAAAGUUAAUUAUAUAAGUUUUUUAUAUGUAAUAUUAAAGAAAGAUUAAAAUAUAAUUAGAACUGAAAAGGAAAUUGAAAAAUUUAAUUAAUUAAAAUUUAAAUAGUAAUUGUUUUGUACCUUUUGCAUAAGGGUUUUUUAAAAAAAAUUAAAUAUUUAUAUUUCCCGAAAUUAUUUUGAUCUAUUUUUUUUAUAAAAAUUUAAUUUGUUAUAAAUAAUUAAAUAAUAUAAAAAUAGAAAUGAAAUUUUUUUCAAAAAUAGUGAUAUCUGGUUAUUAUAAGGAGAUUUUAUAUCUAUCUAUAGAAUGAAUAUUUUUUAUUUUAAAAAUAUAGAAAAAUUAAGUAGGGAUAAGCUUAUUUAAUAAAUUAUAAUUAAUUUAAUUUUUCCUAAAAAAGGAAUGAAAUUUUCUUUUUUUUGUUAUAAAAAAUUAAUUUAAAUAGUAAUGAAAUUUAAUUAUAUUUAAUAAUUAAUUUAAUUGUAAAUUUGUAUAAAAAUGAAAAAAUUAGUAUAAGAAUAAAUUUUUUUUUAUUUAAUUUAAAAAUUAAUUUUAAAAUAGAAUUGUUAAUGAGGAAUUCGGCAAAAUUCUUAUUAAGUUGGCUAUUUAUCAAAAACAUUUCAUUUUGAAAUAAUAAAAUGUAUUAUCUGCUCAAUGAAAUUAUUAAAUUGCUGUGGUAUUUUGACUAUACGAAGGUAUUGAAAUAAGGCUUUAAAUGAGUGCUAAAAGAAUGAUAGAACAAUUUAAAUCUGUCUUUUUAAUAAAUAUAGAAGUUAACUUUUUAUGUGCAGAGGCAAAAAUAAGAUUAAGGGACAAGAAGACCCUAUGAAUUUUAUUAUUUUCUCAAAAAAAUUUUUUUGAGAAAAAUAAUUAGUUGGGGCGACUUAAAAAGAUAAAGAAUCUUUUUGUUAAUUAUUUAAAAAUUUGAUCCAAUAAUAUUGAUUAAAUUAAUAAAAUACUCUAGGGAUAACAGCGUAAUAAUUUUGGAUAGCUAAUAUUGAUAAAAUUGAUUGCGACCUCGAUGUUGGAUUAGGAUACUUAUUUAAUGAAGAAGUUAAAUUAAGGAGUUUGUUCAACUUUUAAAUUCCUACAUGAUCUGAGUUCAGACCGGCGUAAGCCAGGUUGGUUUCUAUCUUUAUUUUAAUUUUUUUUUAAUUAGUACGAAAGGAAUAUUAAAAAAUAAUUAUUUAUUUAAAAAGU